rnacentral:lncRNA from 1 species
AUGUUGUCUCCAUCCAGCAUGCAGCAGGCACAGCCCCUUCUCAGAUGUGCACGGAUUUAUCUUGGCAUUACCCCUCCCAGUGUCCUGCCUACAUGUGCUGGCCAGUCCCUCGGACUGCUCUCCUCUCUGACACAACUCACGGCAAAACGAGGGGUAACAGCAGUACUGUGGACACAGGAAGCCAUUCUGGCACCCAGAGCCCACUUCCUAAUGAAUCUCAAAAGGAUCAUCACCGCUUCACCAGAAGAACAGUGUUGGUGGAAGAAUAUGGCUAAGGCACAGCAACUCAGCAGGACCCGGAAGCUUCAACUUCAGCACACAAAAGGAAGGGGAGGGGCAUGGACUUCAACUUCAAAGUUUAAAGAACAAAAUCCUAACUAUGUAAAUACAAUGUCCCCCACACCUAUCCUGGUAAGCCAUGAGGGGGCUUGGAAACAUUUCUUUUAA